rnacentral:rRNA from 1 species
CGGACGGGUGAGUAAUGUCUGGGGAAACUGCCUGAUGGAGGGGGAUAACUACUGGAAACGGUAGCUAAUACCGCAUAACGUCGCAAGACCAAAGAGGGGGACCUUGGGCCUCUUGCCAUCGGAUGUGCCCAGAUGGGAUUAGCUAGUAGGUGGGGUAAAGGCUCACCUAGGCGACGAUCCCUAGCUGGUCUGAGAGGAUGACCAGCCACACUGGAACUGAGACACGGUCCAG